GCUUUCGUGGUGUAGUGGUCAACACUCUGGACGCGUAUUUCAGAGGUCAGUGGUUAGAGUCCCGGUGAAGGCU
rnacentral:tRNA from 1 species